rfam:Heligmosomoides polygyrus genome assembly, scaffold: HPBE_scaffold0017343
CCAACGGCCCUCUUUAGGGCCACACAUAUGUGCUACACGAAUCGA